rnacentral:rRNA from 1 species
GAUGAACGCUGGCGGCGUGCCUAAUACAUGCAAGUCGAGCGAAGCGGGGUCGGGUGAGUAACACGUGGAUAACCUCCUAUAAGACUGGGCUAACUUCGGGAAACCGGAGCUAAACCGGAUACUUAUACAUGGAUCCACGCUGCAUUAUCUAGUUGGUAAGGUAACGGCUUAACAAGGCAACGAGGCAUAGCCGACCUGAAAGGGUGAGCGGUCACACUGGAACUGAGACAUGGUCCAGACUCCUACGUGAGGCAGCAGUAGUGAAUCUUCCGCAAUGGGCGAAAGCCUGACGGAGCAACGCCGCUUGAGUGAUGAAGGUCUUCGGAUCGUAAAACUCUGUUAUUAGGGAAGCGGUACCUAAUCAGAAAGCCACGGCUAACUACGUGCCAGCAGCCGCGGUAAUAC